GUGAUGAGCCUUACAAGGGCUGAGCUAUGAUGUCCUGGAUCCUUGCUGAUA
rnacentral:misc_RNA from 1 species